AUAAGCCGUGGGGAGCUGCGAAUGAGCUUUGAUCCAUGGAUCUCCGAAUGGGGAAACCCACCUUAGAUGCUUGGAAAAUUUAAGCCGUGCGAGAGCACGGCUUAGGUUUCCAAGCAUUGUUACAAGGUAUCUUAUUCUGAAUUCAAUAGGGAUAAGAAGCGAACGCAGGGAACUGAAACAUCUAAGUACCUGCAGGAAAGGACAUCAACCGAGACUCCGCAAGUAGUGGCGAGCGAACGCGGACCAGGCCAGUGGCAAUGAGGAAUGAAGUGGAACGAUCUGGAAAGGUCGGCCGUAGCGGGUGACAGCCCCGUACACGUAGAACACUCAUUGUCCUUGAGUAAGGCGGGACACGUGAAAUCCUGUCUGAACAUGGGGAGACCACUCUCCAAGCCUAAGUACUCGUGCAUGACCGAUAGCGAACAAGUACCGUGAGGGAAAGGUGAAAAGCACCCCGACAAGGGGAGUGAAAUAGAACCUGAAACCGGAUGCCUACAAACAGUCGGAGCCCGCAAGGGUGACGGCGUACCUUUUGUAUAAUGGGUCAACGACUUAGUGUGACAUGCAAGCUUAAGCCGGUAGGUGGAGGCGUAGCGAAAGCGAGUCUGAAUAGGGCGCCUUAGUAUGUCGCAUUAGACCCGAAACCGAGUGAUCUAGCCAUGAGCAGGUUGAAGGUUGGGUAACACCAACUGGAGGACCGAACCCGCAUCUGUUGCAAUAGAUUGGGAUGACUUGUGGCUAGGGGUGAAAGGCCAAUCAAACUCGGAAAUAGCUGGUUCUCCGCGAAAUCUAUUUAGGUAGAGCGUCGACCGAAUACCCCGGGGGUAGAGCACUGGAUGGGCUAUGGGGACUCACCGUCUUACUGAUCCUAACCAAACUCCGAAUACCGGGGAGUACUAGUCGGCAGACACACGGCGGGUGCUAACGUCCGUCGUGAAGAGGGCAACAACCCUGACCUCCAGCUAAGGUCCCCAAGUCAUGGCUAAGUGGGAAAGGAUGUGAGGAUCCCAAAACAACCAGGAUGUUGGCUUAGAAGCAGCCAUCAUUUAAAGAAAGCGUAACAGCUCACUGGUCUAAACAAGGGUCUUUGCGCCGAAAAUGUAACGGGGCUGAAGCCAUGCACCGAAGCUGAGGAUUUGAUCGCAAGAUCAAGUGGUAGCGGAGCGUUCCGUAAGCCUGUGAAGGGAUACCCGUGAGGGGUCCUGGAGGUAUCGGAAGUGCGAAUGUUGACAUGAGUAACGAUAAAGAGGGUGAGAGACCCUCUCGCCGAAAGACCAAGGGUUCCUGCUUAAAGUUAAUCUGAGCAGGGUUAGCCGGCCCCUAAGACGAGGCGGACACGCGUAGUCGAUGGGAACCACGUUAAUAUUCGUGGGCCUGGUGGUAGUGACGGAUCGCUUAACUUGUCCGGACUUAAUGGAUUGUCCGGGCUUGGACGCGGUCCCAGGAAAUAGCUCCACCGUAUAGACCGUACCCGAAACCGACACAGGUGGUCAGGUAGAGUAUACCAAGGCGCUUGAGAGAACUGCGUUGAAGGAACUCGGCAAAUUGCACGCGUAACUUCGGAAGAAGCGUGACCCCAUUAUGGGCAACCAUGAUGGGGUGGCACAGACCAGGGGGUAGCGACUGUUUAUCAAAAACACAGGGCUCUGCGAAGUCGCAAGACGACGUAUAGGGUCUGACGCCUGCCCGGUGCUGGAAGGUUAAGAGGAGGGGUGCAAGCUCUGAAUCGAAGCCCCAGUAAACGGCGGCCGUAACUAUAACGGUCCUAAGGUAGCGAAAUUCCUUGUCGGGUAAGUUCCGACCUGCACGAAUGGCGUAACGACUUCCCCGCUGUCUCCAACGCAGACUCAGUGAAAUUGAAUUCCCCGUGAAGAUGCGGGGUUCCUGCGGUCAGACGGAAAGACCCCGUGCACCUUUACUAUAGCUUUACACUGGCAUUCGUGUCGGCAUGUGUAGGAUAGGUGGUAGGCUUUGAAGCAGGGACGCCAGUUCCUGUGGAGCCGUCCUUGAAAUACCACCCUUAUCGUCAUGGAUGUCUAACCGCGGUCCGUCAUCCGGAUCCGGGACAGUGUAUGGUGGGUAGUUUGACUGGGGCGGUCGCCUCCGAAAGAGUAACGGAGGCGCGCGAUGGUGGGCUCAGAGCGGUCGGAAAUCGCUCGUCGAGUGCAAUGGCAUAAGCCCGCCUGACUGCGAGACUGACAAGUCGAGCAGAGACGAAAGUCGGUCAUAGUGAUCCGGUGGUCCCGCGUGGAAGGGCCAUCGCUCAACGGAUAAAAGGUACGCCGGGGAUAACAGGCUGAUGACCCCCAAGAGUCCAUAUCGACGGGGUUGUUUGGCACCUCGAUGUCGGCUCAUCGCAUCCUGGGGCUGGAGCAGGUCCCAAG
rnacentral:rRNA from 1 species